rnacentral:misc_RNA from 1 species
AGGACAAUAAAAAUCAUCAUCUUCAGUUUUGAAAGACUUAGGUUAAAAUAUAAGUUUUUCUUUUACAAAAAAAGUGUUUCUCUUAUAUAAAAGACCAAAGGGCCUAUAGCUCAGUUGGUUAGAGCACACGCCUGAUAAGCGUGAGGUCGGUGGUUCGAGUCCACUUAGGCCCACCAAUUUUAUAUCAGGAAACUAUUUACUUUGAAGAAAGUUCUUUGAAAAGUAGAUAAACAUGAUUUGCUUAAUUUAAUUAAAA